AUUGAACGCUGGCGGCAGGCCUAACACAUGCAAGUCGAGCGAGCGGCGGACGGGGGAGUAAUGUAUGGGGACUGCCCGAUAGAGGGGGAUAACUACUGGAAACGGUAGCUAAUACCGCAUACUAUCGGAUAACCCAUAUGGGAUUAGCUAGUAGGUGAGGUAAUGGCUCACGUAGGCGACGAUCCCCAGCUGGUCUGAGAGGAUGAUCAGCCACACUGGAACUGAGACACGGCCCAGACGCCUACGGAGGCAGCAGUGGGGAAUAUUGCACAAUGGGCGCAAGCCUGAUGCAGCCAUGCCGCGUGUAUGAAGAAGGCCGUAGGGUUGUAAAGUACUUUCAGUCGGGAGGCGUUACCGACAGAAAAAGCACCGGCUAACUCCGUGCCAGCCGCCGCGGUAAUUC
rnacentral:rRNA from 1 species